UACGGGGGGGGCAAGCGUUGUUCGGAAUUACUGGGCGUAAAGGGCUCGUAGGCGGCCAACUAAGUCAUACGUGAAAUCCCUCGGCUUAACCGGGGAACUGCGUCUGAUACUGGAUGGCUUGAGUUCGGGAGAGGGAUGCGGAAUUUCCAGUGGAGCGGUGAAAUGCGUAGAUAUUGGAAAGAACACCGAUGGCGAAGGCACUCUACUGGGCUAUUACUGACACUCAGAGACGAAAGCUAGGGGAGCAAAUGGG
rnacentral:rRNA from 1 species